AAUUAUGAAUUACCAUGAACACGCCCGAUCUCGUCUGAUCUCAGAAGCUAAGCAUGGUCGGGCCUGGUUAAUACUUGGAUGGGAGAUCGCCUGGGAAUACCGGGUUCUGUAAGUA
ensembl:rRNA 5S_rRNA 5S ribosomal RNA